rnacentral:rRNA from 1 species
GAUGAACGCUGGCGGCGUGCCUAAUACAUGCAAGUCGAGCGAACGGACGAGAAGCUUUCUUCUCUGAUGUUAGCGGCGGACGGGUGAGUAACACGUGGAUAACCUACCUAUAAGACUGGGAUAACUUCGGGAAACCGGAUCUAAUACCCGAUAAUAUUUUGAACCGCAUGGUUCAAAAGUGAAAGACGGUCUUGCUGUCACUUAUAGAUGGAUCCGCGCUGCAUUAGCUAGUUGGUAAGGUAACGGCUUACCAAGGCAACGAUGCAUAGCCGACCUGAGAGGGUGAUCGGCCACACGGGAACUGAGACACGGUCCAGACUCCUACGGGAGGCAGCAGUAGGGAAUCUUACGCAAUGGGCGAAAGCCUGACGGAGCAACGCCGCGUGAGUGAUGAAGGUCUUCGGAUCGUAAAACUCUGUUAUUAGGGAAGAACAUAUGUGUAAGUAACUGUGCACAUAUUGACGGUACCUAAUCAGAAAGCCACGGCUAACUACGUG